AUUGAACGCUGGCGGCAGGCCUAACACAUGCAAGUCGAACGGUAACAGGAAACAGCUUGCUGUUUCGCUGACGAGUGGCGGACGGGUGAGUAAUGUCUGGGAAACUGCCUGAUGGAGGGGGAUAACUACUGGAAACGGUAGCUAAUACCGCAUAACGUCGCAAGACCAAAGAGGGGGACCCUCGGGCCUCUUGCCAUCGGAUGUGCCCAGAUGGGAUUAGCUUGUUGGUGGGGUAACGGCUCACCAAGGCGACGAUCCCUAGCUGGUCUGAGAGGAUGACACGCCACACUGGAACGGAGACCCGGUCCAGCCUCCUACGGGAGCAAGCAGUGGGGAAUAUUGCACAAUGGGCGCAAGCCUGAUGAAGCCGUGCGGGGUGAAUGAAGAAGGCCUUCGGGUUUAAAAGUCCUUUCAGGGGGGGGGAAGGGAGAAAAGUUAAUACCUUUGCUAAUUGACUUUCCCCGAAAAAGAAGCCCCGGCUAACUCCGUG
rnacentral:rRNA from 1 species